GGGUUGUGAGGUUAAGCGACUAAGCGUACACGGUGGAUGCCCCCGGCAGUCAGAGGCGAUGAAGGACGUGCUAAUCUGCGAAAAGCGUCGGUAAGGUGAUAUGAACCGUUAUAACCGGCGAUGUCCGAAUGGGGAAACCCAGUGCAAUUCGUUGCACUAUCGUUAACUGAAUACAUAGGUUAACGAGGCGAACCGGGGGAACUGAAACAUCUAAGUACCCCGAGGAAAAGAAAUCAACCGAGAUUCCCCCAGUAGCGGCGAGCGAACGGGGAGCAGCCCAGAGUCUGAAUCAGCUUGUGUGUUAGUGGAACGGUCUGGAAAGUCCGACGGUACAGGGUGAUAGUCCCGUACACCAAAAUGCACAGGCUGUGAACUCGAAGAGUAGGGCGGGACACGUGGUAUCCUGUCUGAAUAUGGGGGGACCAUCCUCCAAGGCUAAAUACUCCUGACUGACCGAUAGUGAACCAGUACCGUGAGGGAAAGGCGAAAAGAACCCCGGCGAGGGGAGUGAAAAAGAACCUGAAACCGUGUACGUACAAGCAGUGGGAGCACCUUCGGGUGUGACUGCGUACCUUUUGUAUAAUGGGUCAGCGACUUAUAUUCUGUAGCAAGGUUAACCGUAUAGGGGAGCCGCAGGGAAACCGAGUCUUAACUGGGCGUUAAGUUGCAGGGUAUAGACCCGAAACCCGGUGAUCUAGCCAUGGGCAGGUUGAAGGUUGGGUAACACUAACUGGAGGACCGAACCGACUAAUGUUGAAAAAUUAGCGGAUGACUUGUGGCUGGGGGUGAAAGGCCAAUCAAACCGGGAGAUAGCUGGUUCUCCCCGAAAGCUAUUUAGGUAGCGCCUCGUGAAUUCAUCUUCGGGGGUAGAGCACUGUUUCGGCUAGGGGGUCAUCCCGACUUACCAACCCGAUGCAAACUACGAAUACCGAAGAAUGUUAUCACGGGAGACACACGGCGGGUGCUAACGUCCGUCGUGAAGAGGGAAACAACCCAGACCGCCAGCUAAGGUCCCAAAGUCAUGGUUAAGUGGGAAACGAUGUGGGAAGGCACAGACAGCCAGGAUGUUGGCUUAGAAGCAGCCAUCAUUUAAAGAAAGCGUAAUAGCUCACUGGUCGAGUCGGCCUGCGCGGAAGAUGUAACGGGGCUAAACCAUGCACCGAAGCUGCGGCAGCGACACUAUGUGUUGUUGGGUAGGGGAGCGUUCUGUAAGCCUGCGAAGGUGACCUGUGAGGGUUGCUGGAGGUAUCAGAAGUGCGAAUGCUGACAUAAGUAACGAUAAAGCGGGUGAAAAGCCCGCUCGCCGGAAGACCAAGGGUUCCUGUCCAACGUUAAUCGGGGCAGGGUGAGUCGACCCCUAAGGCGAGGCCGAAAGGCGUAGUCGAUGGGAAACAGGUUAAUAUUCCUGUACUUGGUGUUACUGCGAAGGGGGGACGGAGAAGGCUAUGUUAGCCGGGCGACGGUUGUCCCGGUUUAAGCAUGUAGGCUGAUUGUCCAGGCAAAUCCGGAUAAUCAAGGCUGAGGUGUGAUGACGAGGCACUACGGUGCUGAAGUAACAAAUGCCCUGCUUCCAGGAAAAGCCUCUAAGCAUCAGGUAACAUCAAAUCGUACCCCAAACCGACACAGGUGGUCAGGUAGAGAAUACCAAGGCGCUUGAGAGAACUCGGGUGAAGGAACUAGGCAAAAUGGUGCCGUAACUUCGGGAGAAGGCACGCUGGUGUGUAGGUGAAGCCCCUGCGGGUGGAGCUGAGACCAGUCGAAGAUACCAGCUGGCUGCAACUGUUUAUUAAAAACACAGCACUGUGCAAACACGAAAGUGGACGUAUACGGUGUGACGCCUGCCCGGUGCCGGAAGGUUAAUUGAUGGGGUUAUCCGUAAGGAGAAGCUCUUGAUCGAAGCCCCGGUAAACGGCGGCCGUAACUAUAACGGUCCUAAGGUAGCGAAAUUCCUUGUCGGGUAAGUUCCGACCUGCACGAAUGGCGUAAUGAUGGCCAGGCUGUCUCCACCCGAGACUCAGUGAAAUUGAACUCGCUGUGAAGAUGCAGUGUACCCGCGGCAAGACGGAAAGACCCCGUGAACCUUUACUAUAGCUUGACACUGAACAUUGAGCCUUGAUGUGUAGGAUAGGUGGGAGGCUUUGAAGCGUGGACGCCAGUCUGCGUGGAGCCAACCUUGAAAUACCACCCUUUAAUGUUUGAUGUUCUAACGUUGGCCCCUUACCGGGGUUGCGGACAGUGUCUGGUGGGUAGUUUGACUGGGGCGGUCUCCUCCCAAAGCGUAACGGAGGAGCACGAAGGUUAGCUAAUCCCUGGUCGGACAUCAGGAGGUUAGUGCAAUGGCAUAAGCUAGCUUGACUGCGAGCGUGACGGCGCGAGCAGGUGCGAAAAGCAGGUCAUAGUGAUCCGGUGGUUCUGAAUGGAAGGGCCAUCGCUCAACGGAUAAAAGGUACUCCGGGGAUAACAGGCUGAUACCGCCCAAGAGUUCAUAUCGACGGCGGUGUUUGGCACCUCGAUGUCGGCUCAUCACAUCCUGGGGCUGAAGUAGGUCCCAAGGGUAUGGCUGUUCGCCAUUUAAAGUGGUACGCGAGCUGGGUUUAGAACGUCGUGAGACAGUUCGGUCCCUAUCUGCCGUGGGCGCUGGAGAAUUGAGGGGGGCUGCUCCUAGUACGAGAGGACCGGAGUGGACGCAUCACUGGUGUUCGGGUUGUCAUGCCAAUGGCACUGCCCGGUAGCUAAAUGCGGAAGAGAUAAGUGCUGAAAGCAUCUAAGCACGAAACUUGCCCCGAGAUGAGUUCUCCCUGAGACUUUAAGUCUCCUGAAGGAACGUUGAAGACGACGACGUUGAUAGGCCGGGUGUGUAAGCGCAGCGAUGCGUUGAGCUAACCGGUACUAAUGAACCGUGAGGCUUAACCUUACAACGCCGAAG
rnacentral:rRNA from 1 species